UAGUUACUUACCCUAUCAGCUAACUGGAAGC
rnacentral:piRNA from 1 species